rnacentral:rRNA from 1 species
AGAGUUAAACAGUGCGUGAAAUUGUUGAAAGGGAAACGUUUGACACCAGUUAUGCGGGUGGAAAAUCAGUCUUUUGCAGUGGGGAGUUGUGGGCGUUCUGACCGUAAGGCUGGCGCUUGCUCUAUCUUUGCUGUAAGUGAUGCACUUUUUCAUUUGCAGGUCAACAUCAGUUUGCUUUGCUGGACAAAACCCCAAGAGAAGGUGGCAGCUUAGGCUGUGUUAUAGCUCUGGGGCGAUACAGUGAAGUGGACUGAGGUUUUCGCAGCGUGUGCUCUCGGGCAAGGCUGAUUGGGUGCUAUGGGAUCGUUCGGCGUACAAUGCAUGCAUUUUGCGUCGUGUCUUUUUCAUACUCGCUCAACUCGGCUCUUCCACGCUUAGGAUGUUGACUUAAUGGUUUUAAACGACC